UGACAUAACUAUUGCACUAAAGUGAUUUAAGUGUGUCUAUUUAUAAAUGGUAAGUGUGCAGUAGGGUGCAAUAGUCAGCCCAGGGUUGAGCUGUUGGAUCAGUCUUGUGGCUUGGGGGUAGAGGCUGGUUUAGAGAUAGGUGAUCCAAGACUUGAUGUUGACCCUCACUGUACAUAGAGGUGUUUUGCAAAUGUUGAAUGGGUUGUGAGUGUGAGGAUCUCGUUGUCUACGAUACACAGAGAGGGAAUAGAAAGUGUCAAUCAUUGAGCUGCUCUCGCCUGGCACAGAUAUAGCACACAGCUCACAGGGGUAUUGGUAUCCACAAUACUCCACCAAUUAUACAUUUCUUCCCUGACCCCUGCUGCAGUGUCUUUCUCUGGGGCUGAUGACACCACUCUGCUGUUCGAGGGACGCUUCAAGUGUGGCAACUUGCUGAAAGCAACAAGAGUUGGUGAAUUUGAUUACGAGCUCUCUCUGCGCACCAACUUGUACACCCGGUGGUUCUACUUCCAGGUGAGGAACACCAGCG
rnacentral:lncRNA from 1 species